CACGUGGGUGUUUCGCGUCAAAGAAUUAUGAAUAUUUUUCAGUUGAUGGGGUUUGAUAGCUAACAGCUGUACUUCAUCAAAAUGGAGAUAAUAGAAAGAGAUGUAAGCUCUGCUCAUGCCAAACCGCCUACACUGUCAACUCAAAGAGGAUUCCCAGAGCCACAAAAACUAGCAACUGAAUCAGAUGCCGAUCGUCCCAGUUCAGGGAGGAAGAGGAGUCUGUUUGCGCGACAGGCAGAAAAGCAGAGGAAGACGGCACCCCCAGCUGCGUCACUUAGCGCAUCUAAUCAGUUCACUUCAG